GAUAACGUUCGGAAACGAACGCUAAUACCGCAUACGUCCUACGGGAGAAAGCAGGGAGACCUUCGGGCCUUGCGCUAUCAGAUGAGCCUAGGUCGGAUUAGCUAGUUGGUGAGGUAAUGGCUCACCACAGGCGACUGAUCCGUAACUGGGCUGAGAUGAUGAUCAAUCNCACUGAGAACUNAUUACA
rnacentral:rRNA from 1 species